rnacentral:tRNA from 1 species
GUUCAUGUGGUGUAACGGCAGCAUAUCUGUUUCCGCCAAUCAGAAGGUGCGGGUUCAAAUCCCGUCAUGAACU